UUGAGAAGGAUACAAUGCUUAUCUUCAUCAACAUCUGCAUAAAUUUUUUGAUCAAAUUACCCAUACUGUAUUAGCUUUGAUGUCUUGUUUUUUUUUUAUCCAUGAUGUUUCUUGAAAUCUUACUGUUUUGAAUAAAACCGAAUCAGGUACCGAAGAAAGCAGGAACAUCUAGAAAGUAAACAGGAUUGGGGCAAAUACCAAUUUUAGAGUUUGUAAGUUGAUUAUGUCAAUGAAUAAUUUACAAUCUUUUAGACACAUAUUUAUUCAACUUCAAAACCAGAUAUUUAUUUUCUUUUUAGAAAAUCAGCUAAAAAUGCUUUUUUUUUCCUUAAUCUUAAAAGGAAUAUUGGUCUUUUACUGGUGGACUGAAAUUUAAAUCAUUUUCAGAAUCAACACUUACCUCUAGAGAAGGUUUAAUGGAGUGUGGAUAAGAUCACUUUGGGUUAAUUUCAGUCUUUCCCAUAAUGAGUUGGCUACAAAGACAUACAUCUUCUUUGCAUUUAUUCUCUUAGCAAGGCCCUUUGGUUCUUAAGUUUCACUCACAUCACUUCAUACCUAUAUUCAAAGAAACAGUUAUGGGUUUUUGUCUGCUUUGCCUUUAUCACAGACAAACAAUGGCCUUUAGGGUCAUGAUCUUUGGAUAUAUUAGGUAAAAUGACACUUUCAUUAUUUAAGUUUCCUCAUUAAUAGCUCUUUCUGACAAACGUUUGAUUUAUAACCCUUUGAAGCUAAUUGACAAAACUUUUUUCUCUCUAAAAAAUAUAACAAAACGUGGUGGAGCCAAUGUUUUAUAAUUGUCUAAUCAUUUUUGCUGCAUUCCGGAUCUGUGUUUUUAACUUGAUUAAAAUGCUGUUUUUUUGACUUUCUAACCAAAUUCCACUUUUUGAGUUUUCUUUUGUGAUCAAGAACACGACAAGACAUUACAUAAGUUUUACAAUUUUACUGAAAAUUUUCUUCGUGUUUCCAAACUCUUAGGUUUAGUAGUCUCCAUUGGGAAUCUUGGAACAUAACUUGGGGAUGUCUUGUUCUUGUUCUUGUUCAUGCUACUUCUUCUCUCUGAAUCACCAGACACCAUAACAGACUUAUAACCCUUGCAGCUCAACAAGAAACCACCACUUCUGCUGCCGCUAUUCGUUUUCCGAAUCUGCGGUGCAUUUUUGGUAGGGACCCGAGGAAUAUGAGAAGAGCGGUUUCUUCU
rnacentral:lncRNA from 1 species